UCUCUGUCACACAGAACAGUACUGCAGCACUGGAAGCACUGGAGCUUCGCAACUACGCAGCAAGAACACAAUUGAAGAGAUAUACCCCUGUAAUUAUAUGGCGAACAAAGCCUCUCUUUGGAAAGGCAACACAAAGGAGUAUCAAUGGCAGAUCAGACAGAGGGGGCUGAGCGAGAAGACUCGAGGUGGAGGCCUCACUCAAUAGGCCUGUGCAUAGAGACAUGGCGGAACGAAAUAACAAUCAAGUUCCAGCACUGCUGUUGCACUGAGGCAUGCAUGUUACCCAAUGACUGAAUCGUGCCAGCCUAACAGUUAAUCAAGAUGGCUUUUUUUCUGAUUGCCAUGUUCACAUUUGAAGUACCUUGGCUUUCAAAUCUAAGAUAAAUCCUAUUAUUUUUCACCUGGAAUUCUACAUAUUCUAUAUUUCUCCCCAUAUUUGCAUAAUUAAAAGGCCCACAUAUAUUUGUUUAUAUUUUUAUAUCUGCACAUAUUUUAUUUUUCCACUGAGGAUCACUUACUAUGUUUGUGUGAUUGCUUGUAUUUUGUUUUUAUAUGAUCUACUUUUUCAUUCCCUUUGAAUUAGACAAGGCUGUUUUCAUUACUGUGCCUUCAAGACUGCUAGACACUGUGUGGACAAAAGUAUGUGGACACCUGACCAGUGCACCUAUAUGAGCGUCAUGGUGCACUGUCGUCAUUAUCUCUAGUGGGACACAAUGUCCACCAGCAGUGGGAAGCUACAAGCAGGAAAGAAGUUUUAGGUUCCCCUUCAAGUAAUGUCGCACACACAUCCAACUUUCGUCCCCCUCUCCAGGAUGGCUGUGACAUCUCCCAGCUCUUAUAAGAGGACAGAAGCCACCAUUUCCAUGGAAUCAAGGGUCUUGUCAUUUCAGAUGGUCUGAACAAGACUUUGAGAAGGAGCUUCACACAGAUGUGUGGUCUUCAAUCAAAACCAGCAGGACUUCUUGUUGGAAGUAAAACCUUGUCUGGAAGAGAAAGAGCACCAGACAUACACUCUGACAUUCAUACACUCUGUGCUGGAGUUGUAUAUUUAAAAACUUUAUGCUUUGAACAGUCAUAUAUGCAUGAAGUCAUAAUGUUUUUCAUUAAAACAUAAAAAAACUUGAGUUAAUUGCAGAAAAUUGGUGUUUUAGUGGUUACAAUUAUAAAAGUAACACAAUGAGUUUCAGACCUUGGGGCACACUUACUUCAAAACAAUGGAAUAUAACUGCUUAACA